UUUGGCGUAACGGUUGUGGACAGAAGCUUUUUGCAAUGACUUCAAGACAGCCGAAGAAAUAAUGAAAAGGAGGGAUGAACAUGGGCAUCAUGAGCAUGAAUCAUAUUUUGGCGAUCAAGACACUGAAAGUCUGGUCCAGACAAUGGAAACUUUGGUUGCAUCUGUUUC